UUUCGCAAUGCCCGAAAGGGUGACGAAGCGACGCCGCGUGCGGGAAGAAGGCCUUCGGGUUGUAAACCGCUGUCGGGAGUUAAGAAAUGUAAGGAUGUUAAUAGCAUCUUUGCUUGACUAAGGCUCCGGAGGAAGCCACGGCUAACUCUGUGCCAGCAGCCGCGGUAAUACAGAGGCGGCAAGCGUUGUUCGGAAUUAUUGGGCGUAAAGAGCACGUAGGUGGUUUUGUAAGUCAGAUGUGAAAGCCUUCUGUUCAAAGGAAGAACGGCAUCUGAAACUGCAAAUCUUGAGUGUAGGAGGGGAGAGUGGAACUUCUGGUGGAGCGGUGAAAUGCGUAGAUAUCAGAAGGAACGCCGGCGGCGAAAGCGGCUCUCUGGCCCAUAACUGACGCUGAGUGUGCGAAAGCUAGGGGAGCAAACGGGAUUAGAUACCCCGGUAGUCCUAGCCGUAAACGAUGGGCACUAAGUAGAGGGGUUUU
rnacentral:rRNA from 1 species